rfam:Dipodomys ordii contig_70646, whole genome shotgun sequence.
AAAAAGGCUCUUUUAAGAGCCACCCACAGUUUCACUGAAGUAGCUG